CCUACGGGUGGCAGCAGUGAGGAAUAUUGGUCAAUGGCCGCAAGGCUGAACCAGCCAUGCCGCGUGAAGGUCAGUGCCCUAUGGGCGUUAAACUUCUUUUGUGCGGGAGCAAUAAUGGUCACGUGUGGCCAGACGAGAGUACCGUACGAAUAAGCAUCGGCUAACUCCGCGCCAGCAGCCGCGGUAAUACGGGGGAUGCGAGCGUUAUCCGGAUUUAUUGGGUUUAAAGGGUGCGUAGGCUGGGAGGUAAGUCAGCGGUGAAAUGCCCCCGCUCAACGGGGUGAAGUGCCAUUGAUACUGGCUUGCUGGAAUGCGGAUGCCGUGGGAGGAAUGUGUGGUGUAGCGGUGAAAUGCAUAGAUAUCACACAGAACACCGAUUGCGAAGGCAGCUCACGAAUCCGCGAUUGACGCUGAUGCACGAAAGCGUGGGUAUCAAACAGGAUUAGAUACCCCAGUAGUC
rnacentral:rRNA from 1 species